rnacentral:hammerhead_ribozyme from 1 species
AUCCAGCUGACGAGUCUCAAAUAGGACGAAACGUGCGUCUUGGAU